AGAACUUUCCAGAGAUGGAUUGGUGCCUUCGGGAACUCUGAGACAGGUGCUGCAUGGCUGUCGUCAGCUCGUGUUGUGAAAUGUUGGGUUAAGUCCCGCAACGAGCGCAACCCUUUAUCCUUUGUUGCCAGCGGUUAGGCCGGGAACUCAAAGGAGACUGCCAGUGAUAAACUGGAGGAAGGUGGGGAUGACGUCAAGUCAUCAUGGCCCUUACGAGUAGGGCUACACACGUGCUACAAUGGCGCAUACAAAGAGAAGCGACCUCGCGAGAGCAAGCGGACCUCAUAAAGUGCGUCGUAGUCCGGAUUGGAGUCUGCAACUCGACUCCAUGAAGUCGGAAUCGCUAGUAAUCGUGGAUCAGAAUGCCACGGUGAAUACGUUCCCGGGCCUUGUACACACCGCCCGUCACACCAUGGGAGUGGGUUGCAAAAGAAGUAGGUAGCUUAACCUUCGGGAGGGCGCUUACCACUUUGUGAUUCAUGACUGGGGGUGAAGUCGUAACAAGGUAGGCGUAGUGCU
rnacentral:rRNA from 1 species